GGUGAGAAAAGGCCUGUAUCUUGAAGCAUGUAAUAAAAUAAUAUCUAUUACAGGGCUGGAGAGAUGGCUCAGCUGUUAAAGGCUAGGCUCACAACCAAAUAUAUA
rnacentral:miRNA from 1 species